AGAGUUUGAUCAUGGCUCAGAUUGAACGCUGGCGGCAUGCUUUACACAUGCAAGUCGAACGCGAAAGCGGGGGCAACCCGCAAGUAGAGUGGCGAACGGGUGAGUAAUACAUCGGAACGCGCCCUUUAGUGGGGGACAACGCCGAGAAAUCGGCGCUAAUACCGCAUACGCCCGAGAGGGGAAAGCGGGGGACCGCAAGGCCUCGCGCUGUUGGAGCGGCCGAUGUCCGAUUAGCUAGUUGGUGGGGUAAAGGCUCACCAAGGCGACGAUCGGUAGCUGGUCUGAGAGGAUGAUCAGCCACACUGGGACUGAGACACGGCCCAGACUCCUACGGGAGGCAGCAGUGGGGAAUUUUGGACAAUGGGGGCAACCCUGAUCCAGCCAUGCCGCGUGAGUGAAGAAGGCCUUCGGGUUGUAAAGCUCUUUCGGCCGGAACGAAAUCGCGCGGGCGAACAAUCCGCGUGGAUGACGGUACCGGAAUAAGAAGCACCGGCUAACUACGUGCCAGCAGCCGCGGUAAUACGUAGGGUGCAAGCGUUAAUCGGAAUUACUGGGCGUAAAGCGUGCGCAGGCGGUCGCGUAAGCCAGAUGUGAAAGCCCCGGGCUUAACCUGGGAAUUGCAUUUGGUACUGCGUGGCUAGAGUGCGGCAGAGGGAGGUGGAAUUCCUGGUAGCAGUGAAAUGCGUAGAUAUCAGGAGGAACACCGAUGGCGAAGGCAGCCUCCUGGGCCAGCACUGACGCUCAUGCACGAAAGCGUGGGGAGCAAACAGGAUUAGAUACCCUAGUAGUCC
rnacentral:rRNA from 1 species